rnacentral:lncRNA from 1 species
AUGUCUUCACAUCCAUGUCCAUGCUCAUCCCUAUGUCCGUAUUCAUGCCCAUACCCAUCACCGUCAUCAUGCCAUCCCCAUGCCCAUACCCAUCAUCAUUCCCAUUGUCACACCCCUCUCCAUAACCAAAGCCAUAUCCCUACCCUUACCCAUGCUGAUACCUACGCCCACCUCUAUGUCUUUCCACAGCCUGCACCCAUGCACAGCUCAGCAGGACCAGCUCUGUAUAGCCACCUCCUGAGAAUCCAACCCUUUCCUCACACAGAAACCAAGACUACAGCUGGCAGAGACCUCUCCAGGCCACCCAACCCACGUCUGGUGCUCAGUCUUGGAACGGCAUUAUUCAACAUUCAUUUGAGAGGGAGCCAUGAAUUUCAUCUGAUGCUUCCAUCACAUGGUGACUUUCAGCCUCUUCCUCCAGUAUCGUCCAGCAUUUUGCUCCUGGUGGGACCCACACUUGGCAAACAAGCUCACAGACACCUCUUUCUCUAUGCUAUGUGUAAAGAAGAUGGGCAUCUUGGUUGCCUUGUGGCUUUAAAAUAAUAAAACGCACACCUGCCAGACCUACAUAUGCACAUAACAGAGAGUAAUUUUGCUUAUUAA